UGCACCCUUGUAGCAAUGCUUCAUACAGUUCCCUCGAUGGUGCCGUCUAUGCUUUCCACAGUGGUGCCCCUACAGAAUUUUGCCUUGCCUGCGGCUUCGUAGCCACCACCUCAAUCAGAGCCACAGGCAUCUCUUCGAAGUUCAAAGAGGAGAUUGACUCAUUAAAGUCGCCUUAAGACCUAGCAGCCAAUCAGACGGUGAUCUCCAAGCCCAC
rnacentral:lncRNA from 1 species